rnacentral:rRNA from 1 species
GGAUUAGAUACCCUGGUAGUCCUGGCCGUAAACGAUGGGCACUAGCUUGAGGCCUCCCUGUGUGGUCUCAGGUGAAGCAAAUGCACUAAGUGCCCCGCCUGGGGAGUAUGGUCGCAAGGCUGAAACUCAAAGGAAUUGACGGGGGCUCACACAAGCGGUGGAGCAUGUGGUUUAAUUCGAUGCAACGCGAAGAACCUUACCUAGGCUUGACAUAGAGGGAUUAUCCUCCUGAAAGGGAGGUGCUUGCCUUCGGGUGUAACCUCUACAGGUGUUGCAUGGCUGUCGUCAGCUCGUGCUG